ACCAGCAGCCAUAUCACCCUGCAACCCACAACUAGAAACCCUCUGAAACUAAGCAGGUGUGACUGUGGUCUCUACCUGGAUGGGAGACCUCCUCAGAAAACUAAGGUUGCUGCUG
rnacentral:rRNA from 1 species